AAUCAACGCUGGCGGCGUGCCUCAGACAUGCAAGUCGAACGCGAAAGCUCCCUUCGGGGAGCAAGUAGAGUGGCGCACGGGUGAGUAACACGUAGAUAAUCUACCUUUGGAUGGGGAAUAACACCGAGAAAUCGGUGCUAAUACCGCAUAAUGCAGCGGCACCUAAUGGUGACAGUUGUUAAAGCGGGGGAUCGCAAGACCUCGCGUCUAAAGAGGAGCCUGCGGCGGAUUAGCUAGUUGGUAAGGUAACGGCUUACCAAGGCGAUGAUCCGUAGCCGGCCUGAGAGGGCGGUCGGCCACACUGACACUGACAUACGGGUCAGACUCCUACGGGAGGCAGCAGUCGGGAAUUUUGGGCAAUGGGCGAAAGCCUGACCCAGCAACGCCGCGUGAAGGAUGAAAUCCCUCGGGAUGUAAACUUCGCAAGAACGGGAAGAAUAAGUUGGUGUGAACAUCACCAGCGAUGACGGUACCGUUUGUAAGCUCCGGCUAACUCCGUGC
rnacentral:rRNA from 1 species